rnacentral:rRNA from 1 species
CAAACGCUGGCGGCGUGCCUAACACAUGCAAGUCGAACGAGAAAGUCGGUUUCGGCCGAUGAGUAAAGUGGCGCACGGGUGAGUAACGCGUGGAUAAUCUACCCUUUAGUCCGGAAUAACUUGCCGAAAGGUGAACUAAUACCGGAUAAUACUGAAUGACUACUGUCGUUUAGUCAAAGAAGGCUUCUGUUUACAUGCUUUUGCUGAAGGAUGAGUCCGCGUACCAUUAGCUAGUUGGUAGGGUAAUGGCCUACCAAGGCGACGAUGGUUAGCUGGUCUGAGAGGAUGAUCAGCCACACUGGAACUGAGACACGGUCCAGACUCCUACGGGAGGCAGCAGUGAGGAAUAUUGCGCAAUGGGGGCAACCCUGACGCAGCAACGCCGCGUGAGUGAGGAAGGUUUUCGGACCGUAAAGCUCUGUCGAGCGGGAAGAAAUGCAUGGUGGCUAAUAUCCAUCAUGCUUGACGGUACCGCUAAAGGAAGCACCGGCUAACUCCGUG